rnacentral:rRNA from 1 species
GACGAACGCUGGCGGCGCGCCUAACACAUGCAAGUCGAACGAGAGAUGAGGAGCUUGCUCUUCAAAUCGAGUGGCGAACGGGUGAGUAACGCGUGAGGAACCUGCCUCAAAGAGGGGGACAACAGUUGGAAACGACUGCUAAUACCGCAUAAGCCCACGGCUCGGCAUCGAGCAGAGGGAAAAGGAGUGAUCCGCUUUGAGAUGGCCUCGCGUCCGAUUAGCUAGUUGGUGAGGUAACGGCCCACCAAGGCAACGAUCGGUAGCCGGACUGAGAGGUUGAACGGCCACAUUGGGACUGAGACACGGCCCAGACUCCUACGGGAGGCAGCAGUGGGGAAUAUUUGCACAAUGGGGGAAACCCUGAUGCAGCGACGCCGCGUGGAGGAAGAAGGUCUUCGGAUUGGUAAACUCCUGUUGUUGAGGAAG